rnacentral:rRNA from 1 species
GGGCCACCGUUUGUUGAGUGCAAAUAUGGAUGACUGUUUUUGCCGGCUUCACUGUCGGCUUAUAAGGGUUAUCAAAUAUCACUUUGAUUAAAUUAGAGUGCUCAAAGCAAGUGUGUUACUUGGAUAUAAAUGCAUGGAAUGAUGGAAUAUGUUGUUGUUCUAUUUGUCGGUUUUUGAACGAUGAAAUGAUUGAAAGGAACCGUUGGGGGCAUUCGUAUUGUUGUGAGAGAGGUGAAAUUCUUAGACCACAGCAAGACGAACUACUGCGAAAGCAUUUGCCAAGAAUGUUUUCAUUGAUCAAGAACGAAAGUAGAGGUUCGAAGGCGAUCAGAUACCGCCCUAGUUCUAACCAUAAACUAUGCCAACUAGCAAUCUGCUUAUAUAUGUUCUAUGAUUAAGUAGGCGGCCACGGGAAACCAAAGUAGGGUUAUGGGGGAAGUAUGGUUGCAAAGCUGAAACUUAAAGGAAUUGACGGAAGGGCACCACCAGGAGUGGAGCCUGCGGCUUAAUUUGACUCAACACGGGAAAACUUACCUGGUCCUGACACUAGAAGGAUUGACAGAUUGAUAGCUCUUUCUUGAUUUGGUGGAUGGUGGUGCAUGGCCGUUCUUAGUUGGUGGAGUGAUUUGUCUGGUUAAUUCCGAUAACGAACGAGACUCUAGCCUAUUAAAUAACACACAGAAUCUUGUCUUCUGUGGUGUUUCUUAAUGGGAUCAAGUG